UGCAGAAUGUGUUAAUGUGUAGUGAAUGCAGAGAGUGUGUUAGUGUGUAGUGGAUACAGAGUGUGUGUUAGUGUAGUGAAUGCAGAGAGUGUGUUAAUGUGUAGUGAAUGCAGAGAGUGUGUUAGUGUGUAGCGGAUGCAGAGUGUGUGUUAGUGUAGUGAAUGCAGAGAGUGUUAGUGUGUAGCGGAUGCAGAGUGUGUGUUAGUGUGUAGCGGAUGCAGAGUGUGUGUUAGUGUAGCGGAUGCAGAGUGUGUGUUAGUGUAGUGAAUGCAGAGUGUGUUAAUGUGUAGCGAAUGCAGAGUGUGUGUCAGUAUAGUGGAUGCAGAGUGUGUGUUAGUGUGUAGCGGAUGCAGAGUGUGUGUUAGUGUAGUGAAUGCAGAGUGUGUUAAUGUGUAGC